CCUACGGGAGGCAGCAGUGGGGGAUAUUGCACAAUGGGGGAAACCCUGAUGCAGCGACGCCGCGUGUAGGAAGACGGUCCUCUGGAUUGUAAACUACUGUCCCCAGGGACGAAGAUGACGGUACCUGGGGAGGAAGCUCCGGCUAACUACGUGCCAGCAGCCGCGGUAAUACGUAGGGAGCGAGCGUUGUCCGGAAUGACUGGGGGAAAAGGGAGCAGAGGGGGGGAUGCAGGUUGGGGGUUAAAUCUACCGGCUCAACUGGUAGUCGCACUCAAAACUGCAGCUCUUGAGUGCAGUAGAGGCAGGUGGAAUUCCUAGUGUAGCGGUGAAAUGCGUAGAUAUUAGGAGGAACACCAGUGGCGAAGGCGGCCUGCUAGGCUUUUACUGACGCUGAGGCUCGAAAGUGUGGGGAGCAAACAGGAUUAGAUACCCCUGUAGUC
rnacentral:rRNA from 1 species